GUCUAUUGCCAUUUUACCCUGAAUUUGCCCAAUCUCAUCUGCUCUCAAGCAGUGAGCAGGGUCGGGUCUGGUUAGGAUUUGGAUGGGAGACCCAGUGUCGGGUGAGAAUAAGAAAGGCU
rnacentral:rRNA from 1 species